rnacentral:tRNA from 3 species
GGGUUGCUAACUCAACGGUAGAGUACUCGGCUUUUAUCCGACUAGUUCCGGGUUCGAGUCCCGGGCAACCCA